rnacentral:lncRNA from 10 species
GCCAAGCCUGUGACACGAGGAGCGGGUGCUGGCGGCAGGCAAAGGGGACAAAACAAGGAGAGGCCACCACCUGUUCCCAACCCAGACUAUGAGCCCAUCCGGAAAGGCCAGCGGGACCUGUAUUCUGGCCUGAAUCAGAGACGCAUCUGACCCUCUGGAGAACACUGCCUCCCGCUGGCCCAGGUCUCCUCUCCAGUCCCCCUGCGACUCCCUGUUUCCUGGGCUAGUCUUGGACCCCACGAGAGAGAAUCGUUCCUCAGCCUCAUGGUGAACUCGCGCCCUCCAGCCUGAUCCCCCGCUCCCUCCUCCCUGCCUUCUCUGCUGGUACCCAGUCCUAAAAUAUUGCUGCUUCCUCUUCCUUUGAAGCAUCAUCAGUAGUCACACCCUCACAGCUGGCCUGCCCUCUUGCCAGGAUAUUUAUUUGUGCUAUUCACUCCCUUCCCUUUGGAUGUAACUUCUCCGUUCAGUUCCCUCCUUUUCUUGCAUGUAAGUUGUCCCCCAUCCCAAAGUAUUCCAUCUACUUUUCUAUCGCCGUCCCCUUUUGCAGCCCUCUCUGGGGAUGGACUGGGUAAAUGUUGACAGAGGCCCUGCCCCGUUCACAGAUCCUGGCCCUGAGCCAGCCCUGUGCUCCUCCCUCCCCCAACACUCCCUACCAACCCCCUAAUCCCCUACUCCCUCCACCCCCCCUCCACUGUAGGCCACUGGAUGGUCAUUUGCAUCUCCGUAAAUGUGCUCUGCUCCUCAGCUGAGAGAGAAAAAAAUAAACUGUAUUUGGCUGC